ACUUUCAAAGGAUAAUAGUAAUCCAAUGGUCUUAGGAGCCACACAUCUUGGUGCAACUCCAAGUGAAAGUA
rnacentral:tRNA from 1 species